UACGUAGGGGGCAAGCGUUGUCCGGAAUCAUUGGGCGUAAAGCGCGUGUAGGCGGUUCGGUAAGUCUGCUGUGAAAGCCCAGGGCUCAACCCUGGGAUGUCGGUGGAUACUGUCGGACUAGAGUACGGAAGAGGCGAGUGGAAUUCCCGGUGUAGCGGUGAAAUGCGCAGAUAUCAGGAAGAACACCCGUGGCGAAGGCGGCUCUCUGGGACGGUACUGACGCUGAGACGCGAAAGCGUGGGGAGCAAACAGG
rnacentral:rRNA from 1 species